rnacentral:rRNA from 1 species
UGGGGAAUAUUGGGCAAUGGGGGAAACCCUGACCCAGCAACGCCGCGUGAAGGAAGAAGGUCUUCGGAUUGUAAACUUUUGUCUUUGGAGACGAACAGAUGACGGUAUCCAAGGAGGAAGCCACGGCUAACUACGUGCCAGCAGCCGCGGUAAUACGUAGGUGGCGAGCGUUGUCCGGAAUUACUGGGUGUAAAGGGUGCGUAGGCGGGACAUAAAGUCAGAUGUGAAAUACCAAGGCUUAACCUUGGGGCUGCAUUUGAAACUUAUGUUCUUGAGUGGAGUAGAGGCAAGCGGAAUUCCCAGUGUAGCGGUAAAAUGCGUAGAUAUUGGGAGGAACACCAGUGGCGAAGGCGGCUUGCUGGGCUUUAACUGACGCUGAUGCACGAAAGCAUGGGGAGCAAACAGG